rnacentral:tRNA from 1 species
GCUUUCAAAGGAUAAUAGUAAUCCAAUGGUCUUAGGAGCCACGCAUCUUGGUGCAAAUCCAAGUGAAAGUA